CAGCGGAGAGAGCGGAGGAGCGGGGUGACGUGAGAGAACUUGGGAAGGUUGAACACCAGACGGGCUGCGGCGUUCUGGAUGAGUUGUAGGGGUUUAAUGGCACAGGCAGGGAGCCCAUUAUAUGAUGCAUCUCAUAAUGUAAUGUGUAUUUUCCAGGUGUCUUAUUGUAUAUCCAUGGACUCAGAGAUACUUUGGUACCUUUGGAGACUUAAACAGCACAGAGGUUAUCAUGGGCAAUAAAAAAUUGCCAACGGUCUCGAGCGAGCUAUGUAGAAUAUGGAUAACAUCAAGAACACCUACGCCGAGCUGAGCGUUCUGCACUCUGAGAAACUUCAUGUGGAUCCCGACAACUUCAGGGAAAGAUUUUGGAGUUGAAAAGACGUGUAAUGUGAGUACUAAUGUUUCCUUCUCCCAGCUGCUGGGCGACUGCCUCUCCAUUGUUUUGGCCUGCCAGAUGGGGCGCGCCUUCACGCCAGACGUCCAAGCGGCCUGGCAGAGGUUCCUGACCGUGGUCGUCUCUGCGCUGGGCAGACAGUACCACUAGAGACAAGUUCUAUUGUGGAAUACACAUAUAUAUUUUAUUAUAGAAGACAUUUUGUAUGAAUAAUAAAAUAUAUUGUUAUGCACA